rnacentral:rRNA from 1 species
UACGUAGGGGGCAAGCGUUGUCCGGAAUCAUUGGGCGUAAAGAGCGUGUAGGCGGUCCGAUAAGUCCGCUCUGAAAGCCCGGGGCUCAACCCCGGGAGGCGGGCGGAUACUGUCGGGCUAGAGUCCGGAAGAGGCAAGUGGAAUUCCUGGUGUAGCGGUGAAAUGCGCAGAUAUCAGGAGGAACACCGAUGGCGAAGGCAGCUUGCUGGGGCGGUACUGACGCUGAGACGCGAAAGCGUGGGGAGCAAACAGG